ensembl:ncRNA Y57G11C.1137 ncRNA
AAUUGCACCGGACAUCUCACGGAUUUUAAUUGUUUUUGUGGGGAUGGUGGGAACACAAAUAAUGCCGGUUGCUGCCAAGCAAUAUAACUAAAAUUUUCGAGGAAAGAAUUUUAGUUUCUUGCUCAG